UACAUGGGGUGCAAACGUUGCUCGGAAUUAUUGGGCGUAAAGCGCACGUAGGCGGUUUGUUAAGUCAGGGGUGAAAUCCUGGAGCUCAACUCCAGAACUGCCUUUGAUACUGGCGAUCUCGAGUCCGGGAGAGGUGAGUGGAACUGCGAGUGUAGAGGUGAAAUUCGUAGAUAUUCGCAAGAACACCAGUGGCGAAGGCGGCUCACUGGCCCGGUACUGACGCUGAGGUGCGAAAGCGUGGGGAGCAAACAGG
rnacentral:rRNA from 1 species